rnacentral:rRNA from 1 species
GACGGAGGGCGCAAGCGUUGUUCGGAAUUACUGGGCGUAAAGCGCACGUAGGCGGACAUUUAAGUCAGGGGUGAAAUCCCGGGGCUCAACCCCGGAACUGCCUUUGAUACUGGGUGUCUUGAGUGUGGAAGAGGUCGGUGGAAUUGCGAGUGUAGAGGUGAAAUUCGUAGAUAUUCGCAGGAACACCAGUGGCGAAGGCGGCCGACUGGUCCACAACUGACGCUGAGGUGCGAAAGCGUGGGGAGCAAACAGG